rnacentral:rRNA from 1 species
UCCUUGUCGGGUAAGUUCCGACCUGCACGAAUGGCAUAAUGAUGGCAGCGCUGUCUCCAGCAGAGACUCAGUGAAAUCGAAAUCGCAGUGAAGAUGCUGUGUACCCGCGGCUAGACGGAAAGACCCCGUGAACCUUUACUACAGCUUUACAUUGAACUUUGACCUAACUUGUGUAGGAUAGGUGGGAGGCUUUGAAGCAGAUACGCCAGUAUUUGUGGAGCCAACCUUGAAAUACCACCCUGGUUAUGUUGGGGUUCUAACUUAGGAUCAACAAAUCCAAGGACAAUGUAUGGUGGGUAGUUUGACUGGGGCGGUCUCCUCCUAAAGAGUAACGGAGGAGUACGAAGGUGCGCUCAGAACGGUCGGAAAUCGUUCAAAGAGUAUAAAGGCAAAAGCGCGCUUAACUGCGAGACCCACAAGUCGAGCAGGUACGAAAGUAGGUCUUAGUGAUCCGGUGGUUCUGUAUGGAAGGGCCAUCGCUCAACGGAUAAAAGGUACUCUGGGGAUAACAGGCUGAUACCGCCCAAGAGUUCAUAUCGACGGCGGUGUUUGGCACCUCGAUGUCGGCUCAUCUCAUCCUGGGGCUGAAGCAGGUCCCAAGGGUAUGGCUGUUCGCCAUUUAAAGAGGUACGCGAGCUGGGUUUAGAACGUCGUGAGACAGUUCGGUCUCUAUCUACCGUGGGCGUUGGAAAUUUGAGAGGAUCUGCUCCUAGUACGAGAGGACCAGAGUGGACGAACCUCUGGUGUUUCGGUUGUCACGCCAGUGGCAUUGCCGAGUAGCUAUGUUCGGAUGGGAUAACCGCUGAAAGCAUCUAAGCGGGAAGCCCACCUCAAGAUAAGAUUUCCCUAAAGAGCCGUUGUAGACGACGACGUUGAUAGGUUGGGUGUGGAAGUGUAGUGAUACAUGUAGCUAACCAAUACUAAUUGCUCGUUUGGCUUGACCAUACAACACCCAAGUGGUUUACCACUGACUGUGUUGAUUGGUAAUAUGUAAGAUGAACCUUAAUCUUGAUUUGGUAAUAAACAGACUCAUACAGCGUUGUUAAUCCUUUUACGCUGACGACAAUAGCAAGAUGGAACCACCUGAUCCCUUCCCGAACUCAG